rnacentral:rRNA from 1 species
UGCCAGCAGCCGCGGUAAUACGGAGGGAGCAAGCGUUGUUCGGAUUUACUGGGUGUAAAGGGCGUCUAGGCGGGCUAAUAAGUCAGAUGUGAAAUCCUCCGGCUCAACCGGAGAACGGCAUUUGAUACUGUUAGUCUUGAGUUCGGAAGAGGAAAGCGGAAUUCCUGGUGUAGCGGUGAAAUGCGUAGAUAUCAGGAAGAACACCGGUGGCGAAGGCGGCUUUCUGGUCCGAUACUGACGCUGAAGCGCGAAAGUGUGGGGAGCAAACAGGAUUAGAUA